UGAGGAAUCUUCGGCAAUGGGGGCAACCCUGACCGAGCGACGCCGCGUGCGGGACGAAGCGUUUCGGCGUGUAAACCGCUUUUCUGGGGGACGAGACAGGACGGUACCCCAGGAAGAAGCCUCGGCUAACUACGUGCCAGCAGCCGCGGUAAUACGUAGGAGGCGAGCGUUGUCCGGAGUUACUGGGCGUAAAGCGUGUGCAGGCGGCUCGAUGCGUCUGAGGUGAAAUCUCCCGGCUCAACUGGGAGGGGGCAGCGGAUACGGUCGGGCUUGAGGACUGGAGAGGGAAGUAGAACUCCCGGUGGAGCAGUGAAAUGUGUAGAGAUC
rnacentral:rRNA from 1 species